GGAGAGGUGUCUGAGUGGUUGAAAGAGCACGCUUGGAAAGCGUGUGUGCGAGGCAACUCGUACCGUGGGUUCAAAUCCCAUCCUCUCCGCCA
rnacentral:tRNA from 1 species